UACGAAGGGGGCUAGCGUUGCUCGGAAUUACUGGGCGUAAAGGGCGCGUAGGCGGAUAGUUUAGUCAGAGGUGAAAGCCCAGGGCUCAACCUUGGAAUUGCCUUUGAUACUGGCUAUCUUGAGUUCGGGAGAGGUGAGUGGAAUGCCGAGUGUAGAGGUGAAAUUCGUAGAUAUUCGGCGGAACACCAGUGGCGAAGGCGGCUACCUGGACCAGCACUGACACUGAAGCACGAAAGCGUGGGGAGCAAACAGG
rnacentral:rRNA from 1 species